UUCUCUUAAUGCCCAGGAACCCAGGAUCCGCCAUUCCCCGGCCUCAGUUUCUCCUUCUGUGAAACAGAAGGGAUGGAUAAGAGGGCCUCCCCAGCUGCAGAAGUCUGCACUUCUGGGCCUCGGCACCUCCCUUCUGUCCUCCUCUGCAGUCCGGGAGAUCUUGAAGUAAGCUUUGAACAGGCAGGGUUGCCAGAGCAGUGGGGGCUGCCACCCCCUCACCAGCCUCUUCUAGCAUGUUCCAGAGGGGCCAUCGGGGUCUCUUUUCGGCUGGCUGGCGAUGGCUGGGACCCACAUCUUGCAGCUGGUACAGAGGCCUCAUCAAAGGCCUCUCCUCCUUGGCACCCAGGGCGAAGCAGGUACCAGCCCCCCCCGACAGCUCUGGGCACUGACCCCAGGGCUUGCCUCAGUAGGUCCAUGUGCAGCCGCUGGGACUAGCCCAGGUGUAUCCUGGCCCUUGAAAGUCUGAUCUCCUGGGAGUACAGCAGGUUUGGGGCUGCGGUCCCAGCCAGCAUCCCCAGCCUGGCUUCCCUGCCAUGGACUUGUGGGCUUAUGGGGGUCUUCACCACCCAGCAGCCUCCUCGGGAGUGGGUUGGCUGUGGGCAGACAAGGGUCUACUCCAUUUGAGAGGAAAUUCCUUCUAUCAGGGCUGCUCAAGGGGCCAGCUGCAUCUGGAGCUGGACCCCCAAGGCCGAGACCACAGCUCUUUACCCCAGUGCCUGUGUGGAUGUUGCCUCAAAGGCAGCGAGCCUUCCCUGCCUAAGCUGCCCGUCCG
rnacentral:lncRNA from 1 species